GGCUUCCAUGCAGUCGAGGGGCAGCAUUUCAGUUUGCUUGCAAACUGGAGAUGGCGACCGGCGCACGGGUGAGUAACACGCUAUCCAACCUGCCGAUAACUCGGGGAUAGCCUUUCGAAAGAAAGAUUAAUACCCGAUGGUAUAAUCAGACCGCAUGGUCUUAUUAUUAAAGAAUUUCGGUUAUCGAUGGGGAUGCGUUCCAUUAGGCAGUUGGUGAGGUAACGGCUCACCAAACCUUCGAUGGAUAGGGGUUCUGAGAGGAAGGUCCCCCACAUUGGAACUGAGACACGGUCCAAACUCAUACGGGAGGCAGCAGUGAGGAAUAUUGGUCAAUGGGCGCAGGCCUGAACCAGCCAAGUAGCGUGAAGGAUGACUGCCCUAUGGGUUGUAAACUUCUUUUAUAUGGGAAUAAAGUUUUCCACGUGUGGAAUUUUGUAUGUACCAUAUGAAUAAGGAUCGGCUAACUCCGUGCCAGCAGCCGCGGUAAUACGGAGGAUCCGAGCGUUAUCCGGAUUUAUUGGGUUUAAAGGGAGCGUAGGUGGACAGUUAAGUCAGUUGUGAAAGUUUGCGGCUCAACCGUAAAAUUGCAGUUGAUACUGGCUGUCUUGAGUACAGUAGAGGUGGGCGGAAUUCGUGGUGUAGCGGUGAAAUGCUUAGAUAUCACGAAGAACUCCGAUUGCGAAGGCAGCUCACUGGACUGCAACUGACACUGAUGCUCGAAAGUGUGGGUAUCAAACAGGAUUAGAUACCCUGGUAGUCCACACAGUAAACGAUGAAUACUCGCUGUUUGCGAUAUACAGUAAGCGGCCAAGCGAAAGCAUUAAGUAUUCCACCUGGGGAGUACGCCGGCAACGGUGAAACUCAAAGGAAUUGACGGGGGCCCGCACAAGCGGAGGAACAUGUGGUUUAAUUCGAUGAUACGCGAGGAACCUUACCCGGGCUUAAAUUGCAUUUGAAUANUNUGGAAACAGNUUAGCCGCAAGGCAAAUGUGAAGGUGCUGCAUGGUUGUCGUCAGCUCGUGCCGUGAGGUGUCGGCUUAAGUGCCAUAACGAGCGCAACCCUUAUCUUUAGUUACUAACAGGUCAUGCUGAGGACUCUAGAGAGACUGCCGUCGUAAGAUGUGAGGAAGGUGGGGAUGACGUCAAAUCAGCACGGCCCUUACGUCCGGGGCUACACACGUGUUACAAUGGGGGGUACAGAAGGCAGCUACCUGGUGACAGGAUGCUAAUCCCAAAAGCCUCUCUCAGUUCGGAUCGAAGUCUGCAACCCGACUUCGUGAAGCUGGAUUCGCUAGUAAUCGCGCAUCAGCCAUGGCGCGGUGAAUACGUUCCCGGGCCUUGUACACACCGCCCGUCAAGCCAUGAAAGCCGGGGGUACCUGAAGUACGAACCGCAAGGAGCUCUAGUA
rnacentral:rRNA from 1 species